rnacentral:rRNA from 1 species
GACGAACGCUGGCGGCGUGCUUAACACAUGCAAGUCGAGCGGUAAGGCCCCUUCGGGGGUACACGAGCGGCGAACGGGUGAGUAACACGUGAGUAACCUGCCCUACACUUUGGGAUAACCCCGGGAAACCGGGCUAAUACCGAAUACGACUGCUCCGGGCAUCUGGAGUAGUGGAAAGCUCCGGCGGUGAAGGAUGGACUCGCGGCCUAUCAGCUUGUUGGUGAGGUAACGGCCCACCAAGGCAACGACGGGAGCCGGCCUGAGAGGGUGACCGGCCACACUGGGACUGAGACACGGCCCAGACUCCUACGGGAGGCAGCAGUGGGGAAUAUUGGACAAUGGGCGAAAGCCUGAUCCAGCAACGCCGCGUGAGGGAUGACGGCC